rnacentral:SRP_RNA from 11 species
GCUGGUCUGUGAUCCACGGGGGGACCGUGGAGAAGGUGACGACGCUGGUAAAGUCUUGUCGACGGGACCUGCUCAGCUCCUCUGUGCUCUGCCCCCUCUG